rnacentral:rRNA from 1 species
AGCUAAUACUUGCUUUAGCACUCUUGAUUAAGUUCUUGAGUGUGUACUUGUUAAGCCUUUUAAGAAAAAAGUUAUUAACUUAAGGAAUUAUAACAAAGAAGCAACACGUAAAUGGAUUUUCCAUUUUUUAGUGUGUAUCAAUCGAGUUUCUGACCUAUCAGCUUUUGAUGUUAGGGUAUUGGCCUAACAUGGCUAUGACGGGUAACGGGGAAUUAGAGUUCGAUUCCGGAGAGGGAGCCUGAGAAAUAGCUACCACAUCUAAGGAAGGCAGCAGGCGCGUAAAUUACCCAAUUCUAAAGAAGAGAGGUAGUGACAAGAAAUAACAAUACAAGGCCAAUCUGGCUUUGUAAUUGGAAUGAUGGGAAUUUAAAACCUUCCCAAAACUCAAUUGGAGGGCAAGUCUGGUGCCAGCAGCCGCGGUAAUUCCAGCUCCAAUAGCGUAUAUUAAAAUUGUUGCAGUUAAAACGCUCGUAGUUGAAUUUCAAAGAAUCGAUAUUUUAAGUAGCACUUUGUAGAUUAAUCCACAUAACUGAUACUACGUAUCGACUUUGUGCGCAUUUUUCUACUUAUGAGUUCUUUUAAUUAAAAUGAUUCUUUUUAAGAUCUUUCUUUUUUGCUUCGGCAUUUUAGGAGAUCUUGUUACUUUGAGUAAAUUAGAGUGUUCAAAGCAAACAGAUUAUAGCAUCUUUAUGCGUUUGAAUACUACAGCAUGGAAUAACAAAAUUGAACAAGUCAGAAUUUUGUUCUUUUUUCUUAUUUUGGCUUAGUUACGAUUAAUAGGAGUAGCUUGGGGGCAUUUGUAUUCAGAUGUCAGAGGUGAAAUUCUUAGAUUUUCUGGAGACAAACAACUGCGAAAGCAUUUGCCUAAAAUACUUCCAUUAAUCAAGAACGAAAGUUAAGGGAGUGAAGACGAUCAGAUACCGUCGUAAUCUUAACCAUAAACUAUGCCGACUAGGCUUUGGAUGAAAGAUUUUAAAAUAAGAGUUUUUUCUCU